rnacentral:rRNA from 1 species
GACGAACGCUGGCGGCGUGCUUAACACAUGCAAGUCGAACGGAAAGGCCCUGCUUUUGUGGGUUGCUCGAGUGGCAAACGGGUGAGUAACACGUGAGUAACCUGCCCUUGACUUUGGGAUAACUUCAGGAACCUGGGGCUAAUACCGGAUAGGAGCUCCUGCUGCAGGGUGGGGGUGGGAAAGUUUCGGCGGUUGGGGAUGGACUCGCGGCUUAUCAGCUUGUUGGUGGGGUAGUGGCUUACCAAGGCUUUGACGGGUAGCCGGCCUGAGAGGGUGACCGGCCACAUUGGGACUGAGAUACGGCCCAGACUCCUACGGGAGGCAGCAGUGGGGAAUAUUGCACAAUGGGCGGAAGCCUGAUGCAGCAACGCCGCGUGCGGGAUGACGGCCUUCGGGUUGUAAACCGCUUUCGCCUGUGACGAAGCGUGAGUGACGGUAAUGGGUAAAGAAGCACCGGCUAACUACGUG